rnacentral:tRNA from 1 species
ACCUGGGUGGCUCAGUAGGUCAGCAUCUGACUUCGGCUCAGGUCAUGAUCUCACAGUUCGUGGGUUCGAGCCCCACAUCAGGUU